rnacentral:rRNA from 1 species
AGCGAACGCUGGCGGCAGGCCUAACACAUGCAAGUCGAACGGCAGCACGGGAGCAAUCCUGGUGGCGAGUGGCGAACGGGUGAGUAAUAUAUCGGAACGUGCCCAGUCGUGGGGGAUAACGUAGCGAAAGCUACGCUAAUACCGCAUACGAUCUAUGAAUGAAAGCGGGGGAUCGCAAGACCUCGCGCGAUUGGAGCGGCCGAUAUCAGAUUAGGUAGUUGGUGGGGUAAAGGCUCACCAAGCCGACGAUCUGUAGCUGGUCUGAGAGGACGACCAGCCACACUGGGACUGAGACACGGCCCAGACUCCUACGGGAGGCAGCAGUGGGGAAUUUUGGACAAUGGGCGCAAGCCUGAUCCAGCAAUGCCGCGUGCAGGAUGAAGGCCUUCGGGUUGUAAACUGCUUUUGUACGGAGCGAAAAGGCUCUCUCUAAUACAGGGGGCUCAUGACGGUACCGUAAGAAUAAGCACCGGCUAACUACGUGCCAGCAGCCGCCGUAA